rnacentral:rRNA from 1 species
UACGUAGGGGGCAAGCGUUGUCCGGAUUUAUUGGGCGUAAAGAGCGUGUAGGCGGCCGCACAGGUCCGUUGUGAAAACUGGAGGCUUAACCUUCAGACGUCGAUGGAAACCGUGCGGCUAGAGUCCGGAAGAGGAGAAUGGAAUUCCUGGUGUAGCGGCGAAAUGCGCAGAUAUCAGGAAGAACACCCGUGGCUAAGGCGGUUCUCUAGUACGGUACUGACGCUGAGACGCGAAAGCGUGGGGAGCGAACAGG